ACCACACAAAAGGCAAGGUUGACAGUAACCCAUUUCCACCACAGACCAUGCAAUGUCUCCGUGUUAUUGGAGCACGACACCGGAGUAAAACUGUGAAAAUGCUGUGUGUCCAAUUUCCCACAUGUGGUUGAUUACGCGGGUGAAAAAUAAACCAUGCUCAGGGAACAACAACAGAAAGCGCUGCAGUGCGCUAACCAGCUGAUAUCUCAAGAGUUGCUGAGAAUCGAAGUCCAGUAUUUGGAAUUUUAUUGAAAGAAAUCACACUGGAGCAAAAGAGCUCAAUCACCAUCAACUAACUAAAUCUCGAGCAUGCAACUUAAAAUAAAACGUCCCAGCAUUCGCAAUGGCCUUUUGAAGAUCGGAAAUCCAACUACUACGUAGGCAUACGGUCCCGUAUUAGGGUGCCAGGUGUCGGAUGGAGGGAUUUGUGCACUUAAUCAAACAGCAAACAGAAAUUUUGAUACUAUAACGCGGGAGUAUGGGAGAUUUUGCGGAUGAAUUAACAAAUUAGCCGGGCUUCAUGAAGUUGAUAGAAGAGGAAAAAAAAAUAAAAUAAAAUAAAAGCCUGCUGUUCCAAACAUCAUCCUGAUGAGUUUGAGUCCCAAUUUUUCAAAUGUUAAUAAGAACUUCGUUGCCAAUCCUCAUGCGUG
rnacentral:sRNA from 2 species